UACGUAGGGUCCGAGCGUUGUCCGGAAUUAUUGGGCGUAAAGGGCUCGUAGGCGGUUUGUCGCGUCGGGAGUGAAAACUCAGGGCUCAACCCUGAGCGUGCUUACGAUACGGGCAAACUAGAGGUAUGCAGGGGAGAACGGAAUUCCUGGUGUAGCGGUGGAAUGCGCAGAUAUCAGGAGGAACACCGGUGGCGAAGGCGGUUCUCUGGGCAUUACCUGACGCUGAGGAGCGAAAGCAUGGGGAGCGAACAGG
rnacentral:rRNA from 1 species